AGUGAACGCUGGCGGCGUGCCUCAUACAUGCAAGUCGAACGGAGUGGCGCACGGGUGUGUAAUGUAUAGCUAAUCUGCCCUCCACUAGAGGACAACAGUUGUAAACGGCUGCUAAUACUCUAUAGUGUAGGAUGAGGCUAUAUUGUAUCAGCUAGUUGGUGAGGUAAUGGCUCACCAAGGGUAUGACGCAUAACUGGUCUGAGAGGAUGAUCAGUCAAACGUGAACUGAGACACGGGCGAGAGUCAUACGGGAGGCAGCAGUAGGGAAGAAUGCUCAAUGGGGGAAAGCCUGAAGCAGCAACGCCGCGUGGAGGAUGAAACUUUUCGUAGCGUAAACUCCUGGUGUUAGGGAAGCGGUACCUAACGAAUAAGCACCGGCUAACUCCGUGCCAGCAGCCGCGGUAAUAC
rnacentral:rRNA from 1 species